AGUGAUCGCUGGCGGUAGGCCUAACACAUGCAAGUCGAACGGCAGCACAGUAAGAGCUUGCUCUUACGGGUGGCGAGUGGCGGACGGGUGAGGAAUACAUCGGAAUCUACUUUUUCGUGGGGGAUAACGUAGGGAAGCUUACGCUAAUACCGCAUACGACCUACGGGUGAAAGCAGGGGAUCUUCGGACCUUGCGCGAUUGAAUGAGCCGAUGUCGGAUUAGCUAGUUGGCGGGGUAAAGGCCCACCAAGGCGACGAUCCGUAGCUGGUCUGAGAGGAUGAUCAGCCACACUGGAACUGAGACACGGUCCAGACUCCUACGGGAGGCAGCAGUGGGGAAUAUUGGACAAUGGGCGCAAGCCUGAUCCAGCCAUACCGCGUGGGUGAAGAAGGCCUUCGGGUUGUAAAGCCCUUUUGUUGGGAAAGAAAAGCAGCAGGUUAAUACCCCGCUGUUCUGACGGUACCCAAAGAAUAAGCACCGGCUAACUUCGUG
rnacentral:rRNA from 1 species